AGAUGCAGUGGGUCAUGAAUUACAGACAGUAAGAUGAAACAAUCACUGAUUGACUGUAUCAAUGUAUAUACCAAUCCUAGAGAGAAGAGCCAGAGGUAUGCCUCACAGCACUGAAAUUAGCCCCACCCUGGUCAAUAUUUACAAUCUGAAGGAAGUUAAAGGGAAUUCUUAUCAAAACUCCCUUUGAUAGAUGGCACAAAUUGUUAAUAUACUGGUUAAAAGCUUGUCAGCCUUGAACCUGGAACCAAAUAAAUAACAGAAAAUUUUAGAAGGUAUAAGGGCCAUCAUUUGUCUGGGGCAGACUAAAGGAGGACAAGGAGUGCUGUAUUAUUCUGUGGCAACUUAACUGGGUUCAAUUAAGGGCGGCAUCCCCACGGCAAGUGCUUGCGGGUCUCUGUGUCGUUGUUCAGGAUCUCAGCGGUUCAAUGCUCCAGCAAGGAUCUCCAAGGGGAAGCGCACGCUUUCUUAGAGGCACUCGCUUCGCCUCGCCCUGCAGUCCUUCCUCGGGCUCCGCAAGGUUAGCUGCAGCAACAUCCCCAAGCGCCAGUCCAGUCCGGAUUCGGGGUCGGGGUCACCUAGCGGCCGUGCGGGCGUCGGCUCGCGC